GGAUUCCCAAUUAAAUGUGAAUUUCAGAUAAACAACAAUUUUUUUUUUAAGUAUAAGUAUGUCCCCUGCAAUAUUUAGGACAUACUUAUACUAAAAAAAUUGUUGUUUAUCUGAAAUUCAAAUUUAACUGGGCAU
rnacentral:miRNA from 1 species